rnacentral:rRNA from 1 species
UACAGAGGGUGCGAGCGUUGUUCGGAAUUACUGGGCGUAAAGCGCGCGCAGGCGGCUCUUUAAGUCUGACGGUGAAAUGCCGGGGCUCAACCCCGUGCCCGCCGGAGAUACUGGGGAGCUGGAGACGAGUAGAGGCAAGCGGAAUUCCGGGUGUAGCGGUGGAAUGCGUAGAGAUGUGGAGGAACACCGAUGGCGAAGGCAGCCCCCUGGGCUAACACUGACGCUCAUGCACGAAAGCGUGGGGAGCAAACAGG